rnacentral:rRNA from 1 species
GGGGUAAUGCUACAAGCGACGACGGGUAGCCGGCUGAGAGGGUGACGGCCACACUGGGACUGAGACACGGCCCAGACUCUACGGGAGGCAGCAGUGGGGAAUAUUGCACAAUGGGCGCAAGCCUGAUGCAGCGACGCCGCGUGAGGGAUGACGGCCUUUCGGGUUGUAAACCUCUUUCAGUAGGGAAGAAGCCGCAAGGUGACGGUACCUGCAGAAGAAGCGCCGGCUAACUACGUGCCAGCAGCCGCGGUAAUACGUAGGGCGCAAGCGUUAUCCGGAAUUAUUGGGCGUAAAGAGCUCGUAGGCGGUUUGUCGCGUCUGCCGUGAAAGUCCGGGGCUCAACUCCGGAUCUGCGGUGGGUACGGGCAGACUAGAGUGAUGUAGGGGAGACUGGAAUUCCUGGUGUAGCGGUGAAAUGCGCAGAUAUCAGGAGGAACACCGAUGGCGAAGGCAGGUCUCUGGGCAUUAACUGACGCUGAGGAGCGAAAGCAUGGGGAGCGAACAGGAUUAGAUACCCUGGUAGUCCAUGCCGUAAACGUUGGGCACUAGGUGUGGGGGACAUUCCACGUUUUCCGCGCCGUAGCUAACGCAUUAAGUGCCCCGCCUGGGGAGUACGGCCGCAAGGCUAAAACUCAAAGGAAUUGACGGGGGCCCGCACAAGCGGCGGAGCAUGCGGAUUAAUUCGAUGCAACGCGAAGAACCUUACCAAGGCUUGACAUGAACCAGACCGGGGUGGAAACAGGGCUUCCCCUUUGGGGUUGGUUUACAGGUGGUGCAUGGUUGUCGUCAGCUCGUGUCGUGAGAUGUUGGGUUAAGUCCCGCAACGAGCGCAACCCUCGUUCCAUGUUGCCAGCGGGUAGUGCCGGGGACUCAUGGGAGACUGCCGGGGUCAACUCGGAGGAAGGUGGGGACGACGUCAAAUCAUCAUGCCCCUUAUGUCUUGGGCUUCACGCAUGCUACAAUGGCCGGUACAAAGGGUUGCGAUACUGUGAGGUGGAGCUAAUCCCAAAAAGCCGGUCUCAGUUCGGAUUGGGGUCUGCAACUCGACCCCAUGAAGUCGGAGUCGCUAGUAAUCGCAGAUCAGCAAC